ACUGUCUAUGAAGGAUCCUGUGCAACACACGUGUAUAGUGAUAGUGAAAACAGGUGUACUUUCUCUGUGAACCAUUACUAAUUAAUCAAAAUCCCCUCAUCUCCUUCUCUACUUCUCUGUGUUCAUAAUAACAUCAAUAUUAAGAUUUCUUCAAAUCAUCUAUGAUAAUUGAAAAUUCGCAAAUACUUUUUGGGGUUAUAAAAAGAAAAGAGAGAUACAACUACUAUUUGACAGGAAGAUGGAAAACUAGAGAAACUUUCAUCAUUUUUUGUAUUUAUUAACGUGCCUGAAUGGCUCAACUUGUGGGCUGAUAUAGAGCUUAAUGAUGUACUUGAUAAACUGAAACCUGAGUUUAAAAAUGUAAUAAGUUAGUCAACAGAAGUUCCUGGAGUGGCUUCUGUAUCUGCCCAAGAAGACAACAGGUCUCCAGUAAUUGAAAAUGUCUUUUAUCAGCAUUUUUUAUUUGUCAUUGAUUGUUAUCGUUCAUUGCCUAGCACAGAAUUGACAUCAAGAUUUUUGAAAUUUGCUGUUGAACCAAUAAUACACAGCUUUAUGAGUUAUUUGCUUUUCAACUGUUGGUUCGUCUUCCCAAAUAGUACAAGAUUCAACUGACUUGGCUGUCAGGUAGGGAUGUCAUAUGGAGUGGAAAUGUGAAGCUAAUCAGAGAUCAGUUCCUUUCUUCGGGAAGCAAGACAAAGAUGUAUAGUUGGUCAAGUUCAGAUGAUCUUUCAAAUAAUGCAGUAAAUGUGAUAGAGGGUUUUCCUGUUUGGAUCAAAUUUGUUCCAAGUAUCAAUUUCAGAAUAGAUAAUGGACCUUUUAAGAUUAAGAAUGAAUAUGGAUCCAUGGUGUGGGAACUCAAAGCACCCGAUAAAUCUUAACGGUGGGCAGCCAAAAUGGUUGUAGGUCUUAAAACUGGUGUUCCAUAGGUUAUGUCCAAGAAAAAUGAUGCCCCUGAUCCUAUUGUAAGUGUUGUCUUUGAUUCAAUUAAUUAUUUUUCUCUUA